rnacentral:lncRNA from 1 species
CUCGCUGCACUUCCUAUCGCUCCUACUGCCUGCGCCGAUGCACCCACACGCUGCUGCUCCUGUCGCUUGUCCCGUACGUCUUCCUCUACUGUCGCGCCCUCCACACACGCGAUGGUUGGCGAGCCGCUCCUCUCCCCCUUCCUCCCCUCCCUCCAUCUCUUCCCCCUCUGCGACCUCCAUGGCCUCCAUGCCACCGAAGUUAAGGCGACGGUGCCGGCUUCCGGCGAGUAGCUCGCGCUCCCUCCCUUCCUCCUUGCUUUCUCCCUCGCUCUACUCCAUAGGGCAACAGCAUGUGGCUUCCAGCGAGGUAGGUAGGAUCCUCGUGUGGAUCUCAGCCUUCUUCUUCCUUGUCUCCUCCUCUCUCUAGACCGAGCUAUCCUCUUCCUUCUCCUCGUCCUCCUCGUACUCCUUCUCUAGGUCUAGAUCUAAUGGAUGCGGCGGAGGCUAGGGUUCUGGCGAGGUCUUAGGGUCAGAUCUCGUCGUUGUUAGAAUAGUUCUUUUUCAAUGUUGCAACAAAUGAUUUGGAAUGUUUGCAAUGAUGAUUUUUUCGUUGUUGCAGUAAACUCUUUCCGAUAUUGCAUCAGAUGUUGGUUCGAUUUUGAAAUAGCUUUAUUCAUGUGUUAAAGUAGGUUUUUCGUAGAUGUUCUUUUGACGUUGAAAUAACUUUUUCUGUUGUUUGCAGUAGAUUUUUUUGUGUGUGUUUGUUCUUUUGAUGUUGAGAUAGUCUUUUUUUUGUUGAUGCAACUAGUGGAUGGGCUAUGGAAGGCAAGUUGGUGGCGAGGCAGAGGUGCUAGGGCCCAAUGAGGUGGGGGGCGAGCAGAUCCAUGCGCGUGGAGGGUGGGGGCACGUGUGUUGAGGGAAGAAUGGUCUUCUUAGGCCUUGUUUAGUUCCAUUCAAAAAUUAAAAACUUUUUAAGAUUAUCUGUCACAUUAAAUCUUGCGUCACAUCUAUGUAACAUUAAAUAUAAAUAAAAACAAAAACUAAUUACACAGUUUGUCUAUAAAUCGCAAGGCGAAUCUUUUAAGCCUAGUUACUCCGUGAUUGGAUCAAAUAAAAAUGUUAAUAAAAAAAUUUCGUGUAGAAACUAAAUAAAGCCUUACUUUUCUUUUUUUUUUCUAGAUGGGAGCACGACGUGCAGGUACGAGGCUAGCGUCUGCGGCACUGUCCAGAUAGAUUUUUCAUCGGACGUCCAUGCACCAGCACUCUGCUUCCGAGUCCGGAUGGAUGGAUGGGCAGGAUGGCCAAAUCAAACGCGGUGGCCUUGGGCCCUUUGGCUAGCACGCGCGCGUCGUGCCACCGACCGGCGUGCCAUCGUCUUUUGGAUCUCUGUCACUGAUGACUGGUCCCCCUCGAGCCGAAUCAGCCAGACAUGCCGUCGAUGCGCACGCCGCGCGGAGGCUUUUGGACCCGAAACAGGAUGGAUGGACUUGCCUUCCCGACUUUCAUCUUUGUCUGAUUGUCUCGAUCACCUUUGUUUGGGUUUGUACGGGUCCAAGAUCCGAGCUCUAAAUUUAUGUACCAUGCCUUGCAUUGCCGAAAGUUGAGAUGUUGCUGUUUUAAUAUACUUAAUAUUAACUGUGGCCUAAUAUACUAAUCCUUCCGAUGAUUCCGGGA